CGCCAUGUGGGAUCUUCCCGGACUAGGGCUCGAACCUGUGUCCCCUGCAUUGGCAGGCAGAUUCUUAACCACUGCACCACCAGGGAAGUCCCUUCUCUGCCCCUUUAAUGCAGUAUUUCACUUGUCUCUCUCUCUGGACUAGAAGCUCUUCAAGGCCAGAGUCCACAGGCUUUUACUCUGUCCCUGUGCCCGGGGCCUGACAUGUAGUGGUCAGUCAGGAAAAGUUUGGACAUGAGGCUAAGCGGCAGGCCUAGACUGGGGUGGAUGGGAAAGUAGGAGCUUACAGCAGUUGAAGCACUUUGAUGGGAGAAUGAGCAAGGUUGGGUAAAAGCAUUUUAAAUAAGCAAUUCCAGGGGAUUCUGAUGCAAGUGGUUCAUAGACCAUUUUUUCAAAGCACUGUUUUAGGACUUUGAGUUUAUGUAUGUAAGGUAACCAUUGCCAGAAACACAUACAAGCUAAAGAAUUUGGUGUCAGACGUGCUGGGCUGAGGUGACAGUUAAACCCCAGUGGAGAGUGUCGUCAUCAGCUGGACACGGGACUCGGAGGCUCAGAUUGGACACCCCAGAGGGUGAUGUCGACGUGGGUGGUGCCUCAAAGUUCAUUCAGGUAAGGCUCUGACCGUGAUUGAAAGUCAUCAAAGAAAGAAGAUACGGACAGAGUGAAAGACCUCGGAAUUUUCCCACAUUUAGGGAUGGCGGAGAUGGAGACCACGACUAGUCAGAGAGAGAGGAGUUUCAGCAGCGCUGGGAUGCAGAAGCCAGAAUGCAGAAUGCGGAGGAGAAAGUGAAGCUUCGGUUACAAGCUGUUUGUGCCCGAGUUCGUUUGUGAGGGAAGAAGGGAACUAGAUUGGCGCCACGGAACAGCUUAAAAGGACAGAGUCAGGGGCUUAGUUUUAUUGGUACGCGUCCAUCUGCUGCAUUCCAGAGCCUCAGAGAGUUCGACUUCUGAUGAGAGGCCCUUCCUUGGCUUCUUAUGAUGGAAAUUCCAGGGCCUGGCCAUGAUUUCCCCUCCUGCUACCCCUCACCCCUGGCCUCUAACUGUGUGCGAACACACACACCAACACCCUGUAUUUGUGCUGAUCUCAGCAUCCCAGGGAUAGAUUCUGGGAAUGACCAAGGCCUUGUCCCAAACUGGGCUAAGCUAUAUCCAGCCCAGAAAAAGACAACCUAUAAGAGUCACUUGUUUGGGUAGGAAAAGGAAGGAACAGGUCUAACAUCUCGGCGGCACCAGAAGAAUGACCACGUCUUCCCUCUCUGCCCCUCAUUCCCUGGCAUCCCCACCCCGCCCCCGGGUCACUCAGAUAGGCUAGAAUGACAGAGCUGCAAGACUUUCUGCAAGUUUUCUUCGCCUUAUUGAGUUAUCUUCCUCCUGAGUGGCCCCCAUGUCCCCGGCAUGUUCCUCCCAGAGGUCGAUGUGCCGGAUGCUGAGCCCACCCACCUGGUUAGCGUUCGCCACCAGCCUCACGCAGCUCACCUCGUGCCCCACGCUCUGUGGAACUACCUCCUGAUCCGGCUGCCCUUCCAGGAGGUGGCCCAGCAAGGCGAGGCUGGUGCAGCGCUGCGGUGUCCCCUCGGGCUCGUAGCCCAGCUCCACCUGCCCCUUCUCCAGGGCGUGCUUGCCAUCCACGAUGGUGCCCGGCAGCACCUGCACCCUCCUCAGGUCCGCUGGGUGGUUCAGGAUGACAGUCAGGUGGUUCCCUGCGCUGUGGGCCCAAAAGAAGGACUCGUCCAGACUGUAGGCCUGCCAGGGGAAAUGGACCUCAAAAACCUUCAUGUCUGUGAACGCGGCUCCUGGUGGGUUGUCAGGGGCUUAGGGGCUCUUUUUCUGCGUGCCCGAGGCCUUCUGGCUGUGUCGUUCGGCGCAUGGUAGGGGACUCGGUGGUAGAACAGGAACGGUCUGCAGAGGAUCGGGUCCUUCUGGGCCAGGAGGGUGCGGAAGUGAGGGAGGAGCCUGGCGAGGGGCUUCUCCCCGUAGAAGAGGAGGAGGAAGUGGGCCAGCACCGGGGGUCCCCGCUGCGGAAGAGCCUGCCCUGGAAGCCCAGGUUGGAGAACUCCAGGAGCGCCCAGGGCUGGGACCCCAGGGUGUCCGCUUUCCACCGAACGUGGUGAUGAAGUUGGGGGCGCACGAGGUGCCGUCCUCCAGCAGCAGGAAGUACUCCGAGAGCUUCGCGGCGCAGCUCAUGAGGAAGGCGUGGUCCGUGGUCCGCUGGGAGUAGGACUCCUGGCGAGAGGCCCCGCCCCGACGCCGCCCUCGUGGGGAUGGGCCUCCGGCGGGGCGGGAAUCGGCGCUGCCCCGCCGAGACCUGUGGGCCGAAGAGGCUGGAAAUGCGGAGGCCGGCCUCCCUGAGCCAGGCCAGGCCAGGCCAGCGCCCGCCAGGUGGGCAGCAGUGUGUACGGGAGGCCGCUGCGGUCCGACCGGGGCCUCGAGCAGGUGCCGACCGUCAGCCACGCUGGGGCGGCCAGCUGCGCGGUCAGCGUGCAGGCGGGCCGAGUGGAUGCUCUGCGGCACCAGCAGAUGCUCUUCCCGCAGAUGCUCGUCCCGCCCUCGCUGCUCGGCUAUUUCCCACCCCAGGGGGCAGGUUCAGAUCCUCGCUACGCAAAGCGUGGGCGUUAGUCCAGCAACAUCGCCCCGUUUGGAAGCUUAUUAGACGUGCAGAAUCUAGUGAAGCAGAGUCUGCAUUUUAACAAGGUCGCCAGGUGCCUGAGCUGGGGUGCUGCGUCCCCACGGGCCUCUGAGGCUUCUCUGAACUGGAAUUUUGUGGCACAUUGUUUAAGUACUCAAUAAAUAUUAGCUUUUUUUUUUUUU